ACCUCGUGAUCCACCCGCCUCAGCCUCCCAAAGUGCUGGGAUUACAGGCGUGAGCCACCACGCCCGGCUGAAAUUUCUGUUCUUUAUAAGUUACUGUUCUUUAUAAGUUACCCAGUCUGUGGUAUUCUGUGACAGCAGCACAAAUGGACUAAGACAAUACCCCAAUCCAUCUCCAAUGAGGUGUCCAAGUUCUCCACUCUCCCAAUGUUUACCAUUGGAUGGAAAGUUGUCCAUAGUUAUUGGGUGGGGGUAGGAGGGAGUUUAGUGGGGAAGGUCCAUGCUUGAGGACCUCUUUGUCUCUGAUACCUUUCCACCCUGGUCCUUGGUCUCUACAAUAGUUCAAGGAUGAGGAUCAAAGUCCUAGCAGUUUCCAAAUGCUGAUUCUUUCUCUGAUGAGAGACCUGUAUAGUUUGGGGGGAUUCUUAUAACCUUAGCUCCCUUGACAUGGUCUCCUUAGCUUCUGCAUCUUGGUAGGUUUGGAUCUUUUCUAGCAGAGGGCCCUUCUCUUGACAGAAAGCUGGUAGAACAGGAUUCUUCCCAAGAAAACUAAAAGCCAACUCCCUUUCCCAUGGGGCCGUAUCAAGUCCGUGGAAAACGUGCCUGAAUCUUUUCACUGCUGAAUCCUGGAAACAGAGGCAUUCCUAACACAGCCCAAACUCUCUUGGGUCUGUUCCCUCAGGCCCACCUAGCCACUUCUUUCCUGUGGGUUUUCACAGGUACAUAUUGGCUACCAGUCCCUGAGGUCCUCCAGCUCUAGGGACACAGGUCAAGCUCUCUGGGUGUUUUUCUGAAGCCCUCCUCAUUUGUCUUGAGGUGUAGGGAAAAGCUCUGUUCUCCUCACCAAUGAGAGAUAAGAAACAUACCUGCAUUUUAACAACGACAGUCAGAGAAUUUUUUUCCUUUUACGUGUCUCUGGAUGAGUGAGGGGCUAAUAAUGGCAUAACAGUAACAAUAGCUAAUGUUUGCUGAGCUCUAAGCACCAGGCACGAUUAUGAACAUUCCCCAUGGGUUAUUCUAUUCUUCAAUCCUCACAAUGACCCAGUGAGGUAGAGGCUUUGAUUUUCUUCAUUUUACCGCAUGGACAGAUGAACUAAUCUGCCCCUGGUCACGGAGUUGCUAACUACAGGGUCAGAAUUUGGACCCAGGCCUUCUGGCUCCUGAGCCCAUGCUGUUGCCAACUAUGAAUAGUCUAGCACCUCUCUUUCUAAGGUGGGGGUGCUCGUCACCUCUUUUCUUCUCAGCCUUCUGAACCUAAGCAACAUUCUGAGGCAACCAGGGACAUUGCGUGUAAUAUCCUGAUACAUGAAAACAUAUAUAUAUAAUGUUGUACAUUAUAUAUAACAUAUAAAAUGUGCAUUUUUUUCUUUUGCUCCCUACAUUGUCUCUAUUUUCUCCUGUUUCCUUUUGUGUUUGUUUUGGAGAGAUCAUGAGAGAUCAUGUUGGAGGCUUUCCUCAAGUAUCUGAUGAUCCUUGACUGUUCACAGCAAGACACCAAAAAUGGAUAGGAUGAUCCCAGGUUGUCCCCAAGAGUGGUGCAGUUUUUCCAAUGAAGAAAACUUUCGCUUUGUACAAGCAUGUGGGGAGGCGAAGGAGAGGAGAAGAUGGGAGGGAGGGGGAAGGAAGCAGAAUUUUUUAAAAGCUAUGCAGCUCUAGAAACUGAAUCCUAUUGAUAUUUUUGAAGGGAGCAAGUUAAAUGUAUAAAUUGCUUUAAGGAGAAUUAACAGAUUUAUGAUAGUGAACUUUCCUAUUUAAAAACAAUGUUUACCUUUCCAUUUAUUCAAGUCAUCUUGUAAAUCUCCCAGGAAUGUUUUCAACUUUCUUCAUAUGAAUUUUCCACAUUUUCCUAUUUAAUUUAUUCCUAAAUAUUUUAUAAUUAAAAAUAAGUUGUGGAAGUUAACCAAAGGAUGUGUUCAUUUCGAAAAGUCAUCUUUACAUGAAGAACUGAACAAAACAAAAAAUAAGACAGUAGGUCAAAAGCUAAGAAACACGAGAAUAAAAAUCCAAUAUUCUUCAAAUUGACUGGGUAGAUGCAGCCACCUCUAGUAUAAUUUCAUCCAUCCAUCCAUCUAUACAUCCAUCACAGCAUCCAUCCAUUUAUAUACUCAUUCAUUUAUCUUAUAUGUGCCAAAAACUGGCUAGGCCUUCAAUGUGAGCUCUGUAUGAGUACUGAUAAUAUUAGCAGUGCAUGGAUGAAAUAAUAAAACUCUACUAUCAAAC
rnacentral:lncRNA from 1 species